GAGGUUUUGCAUCCGAGUACGCAACUAAUCUAUCAAUAUGGCACGACUAGAUGGUCAAGGAUAAUUAAAUCCAUGGCAGAAGCUCUGACUGAAAUCCUUUUACGGCUUUACCACAUGGGAUAAUACAAAUAGUUUGAAGUUUGAACACAUGUACCAGUAGAAAGAAAUAAUUAAUCUGGGUGGUAUAAAAGUUUGAAUUUCAAGGUAGAGUGUCAUGGUUGGUCCACCUUAUUUCAUUUGACUCUGACAAUCUUACAAGUUACAAUCUCU
rnacentral:lncRNA from 1 species